rnacentral:lncRNA from 1 species
ACCACCCAGAGUCUUUCCCCGUGAACUUGCUUUCUUCGCCCUCAUGCCCACCUAGGUCUCCCUCUCCCAAACCCACAGCACACGAUGCACAAACUCAAGCCUCCCCCAGUGUAGGGAGCAGAAUCCCCUCCCAGCUCUUCCUCAAAGCAAUAAGUGGGGCCCAGGCCCCAAUCCAGUCCUCAGGGUCCUCACCUCUCUUCUGCACUUCACCCUCUCAGUGACCAGUUUCAUGAAUAUGCAUCAGAAGUGUUCUCACCUCCUGCCAAUCAGGAACUCUGCAGUGCCUCCUGCUGGGCCCAGCCACCCCUCUAGGCCACCUCCAGCUGCCUGAGCUUGCUCCUACUGUCUCCCUCCAGCUCCCCAGCCCAGCCUGGGGCUCAGGACCCCACCCAUGGACUCCCUUUUCUGAGACUCACUAGGAGACCAAGCUCUUCUGCAUUAAACUCCCAGCACUCCCCCUGACCCUGACCCUGACCCUGACCCUGUCUCCCUCACACAGCUAGGGUCAGAGCAGAGAGAGACACACAGAGAUUAGCAGCCAGCACAAGAAGUUGUUUACUGGACACAUACACCUGCCCGCCAGCCCCUGCACCCCAGAGAAGGAGGCAGAACAGAGGGAGGGCAGGGGAGGAAGAAGGUCAGGGAGGCCGAGAACUUCGGGAGCACAGGGGCCUGCAGGUAACAGUGCAGCCAGGCAUCGGAGGAGCCUGCUUAGGGGAAGAGGCAUUGGGGUGAGGGUGAGUUCUGUGAGUUGCCCUGACCUACCUGUCCUGUGCGCUGUCAGGCUCCCAACCAAGGUCUCAGAGAGCCCCUCAGCUCCCUGGGGAUCCCUCUAGCCCAGGACCUCAGGCCUCCCUUGGGGACUCGAAGCAGCACUCCCCUUCCUGAGGUGAAUGUGAGCUGCAAGGAUGUUGCUGCCCUCUGUGGAGUAGGUGAUGAAGGACAGCAUGCUCUCAGGCUGGAGAGGAAGCAUGGGUCCCUGAGAAGCCGGAGGCACCAGCUGCACAGGACCCAAGCACAGCCAGGGCAGCAAAAAGGAUCUUCCAGUGAAAGUUUAUGGGGAGCAAGAGUCUUCAACCCACUCACCUACUCUGGUAAAACUUCCAGUUUGAGAUGAUUUUGAAGAAGGGUCUAUGUUUUAGACCACAGAGGAAGCCAGUACUUUUGAAUGGAGAAGGGCCACAUGAACUGACAGGUCCCUAGGAGGAGGCAACAUGGAACAGUGCAAACCAUGUGGACUUCUGGCACAUAGAGCUCUAAUGACGAUUUAGUGCCCCAAUUUUACACAAGAACAGAGAGACCAGGAUCACCAAACAUUUGAGAACACCUCUACCAUUACAAUUUGAGACCAAAACAUCAUAGUGAUAUUUCCACAUUGUGGUAAUGGAAGUGGGUAGGACUGAAUUGUGUAGGAAACCUCAGCUAUGAGAAAGCUAAAAAUACUCUUCCUCCAUAGAAAGAAGUCAACAGAGAAUAUAUGACUGCCAACAACAAGGAAUAGCAGUCAGUAAAAGCAUAUUUUUAAAAACAAGGACAUAAAAUUAGAAGAAAAAAACUAAAAUAUUUGCAAGUGGCUGCCUCUGGAGAGUGGGAUCAGAAGUGGGAAGGAGUCUAGCAGGAGCCUUGAGUUUUUAUUGUGAGCCUUCAUAGAGCAUUUGGUAUUUAUAUUUACCUUCAACCUUUUCCUUAACUAAUGUAAAAAUGAAACUACAAGCAAAAAUGAGUAGCAAGGAAUGAUGUCAGCAAAAUGGUGGCUUGAAAGCUCCCAGCCCUUGCUCCCCCAAAGAAACAUUGAAAGAAAAAACAGAAUCUGUGCAUGCUAAUUUUUCAGGAACUCAGGAAAACAGUAAUAAAAGAUUUACUGCAAUAUACUAGAUGCCCAACUGAGAAAAAGCUAUCUUCAAAAUCACAGGAAAGUUUUGUGGUGUUUUUACAUAACCCUUUCCUCAAUACUUUCACAGCAUAUUGGCAGUUCUGGUUUUGAGCAGCGACCCAGUUCCAAGUGGUUGUCUAUGAACUAGAAGGAGCAGUAUAGGUCUUCCUUGCACAUUUCUGUCUUAUCUGUUCUAACCUGGCUGGAAGACACCCAAAAGACUAGCUCCCUCUACCCUAUCUCAUAUAGCUCAGUCAGAACACAUGUAGAAAAAGUGGCAGGCACUUCUUACUUCUUGCAAAUGUCAUGACAAACCUACGGGGACAAAAACAAAAAACAAAAAACAAAAAACCAAAACCCAUAUAUGCCUGAAGCAAGAGAGUUUGGGUGAAUACACAAUAGACAUUAAAGACCCCAAGGAGAAGGUAGGUGUGACUCUUUGGGAAUUAGGAUGUUUAGAAUAAGCUAUGUACACAGGGGAAUUUAGAAAUUCAUGCACAUGCCCAGGUAAGGUGUGUACUCAGAGAAGUCCACACUUUAAGCUUUCCGUAGACUUAGAGCAAGUCUAGUUAAGUUGUGAAGGAGUGCCCAGAACAAAACCAAUCUGCAAAGACAGGGAAAUGUGGUUGUUCUUUCUGUUAAUUUUUUUUUAGUGGUUUUCCUUUUGUCUUAGCUCCUGGCAUUUGAAAAAUCUGUCAAAAUGUCACCUGAACAUGAACUACAGAAAAAGAAACUCCAGUGAUCUUAUGCAACCAGGAAUGGUCUUUGCAAUAAUAGUUUGAAAAAUUUUCAAACUGAGCAAACUGCUACAGGAUUCUACAAUUAAAAAACAAAAAAAUUAAAAAAACCCCAUUAGCCUAUAAGAAAGUAGGGGGAAACAUAAUUUUUAGAGUUAUUACAUUAUAAUAAUCAAACACCCAACUUUCAACAAUGAAAACAAAAUAAAAAAGACAAGACUUAAAAAGAAACAGAAAAACAUAGCUCAUUCAAAGAAACUAAAUAAAUGGACAAAAACCACCCCAAAGGAAGCCAAUACUUUAGACAUACUGGACAAAGACUUAAAACAUCUAUCUUAGAUAUGCUCAAAGAGGUGAGGAAAAACAAGAGUAAAGAAAUAAAAAAGUGAGGCGUGGUAGCUUAUACCUAUAAUCCUGGCACUUUGGAAGAUCAAGAUGAGAGAAUCUGAUUGCAGGAGUUUGAGACCAGCCUGGGAAACAUAACUGAAAAAAGACCAAAACUGGGUUUGGUGGUGCCUCCCUUUAGCCCAAGAUACUCAGGAGGCUGAGGUGGGAGGAUUGCUUGAGGCUGGGAGGCUGAGGCUGCAGUGAACUGUGAUCAUGCCACUGCACUUCAGCCCAAAAGACAGAAUGGACUUUGUGUGAACCAACAAACAAACAAAAAAUAAAGAAAAAAUAAAUAAAGGAAAUCAGGAAUUA